rnacentral:lncRNA from 1 species
UUUUGUUUGGUUCAUAAUGUGUCAUUUUGGAUUUGAUGUAAAUAUUGUAUUGUUUUUGCACAAAAUGUAUCAUUUUGGUCUAUAAUGUAUAAGUUUGCUUCACAAAUGUGUUAUUUAGGUUAUAUUUUACAAAAUAUAUUACAAAUGUGGUACAAAAAUUAUCUUUUAUAAUAUGUUAUAUAAAAAUACAGGUUAUAAUGAAAAAAAUAUGUAAAAUCAAAAAAAUUAUAUUAAAAAAAAC